UUGAAUUUUAAACUUGGGAUGUUGCUGGCUCUUACUUGGGUAAUGUGCACUCCCUUGAUAUUCAAAUCCACCUGUGCACAAUCGAGUAGGCAUAGAUUGAGUUCUGUGCCUAUGUUUUACACACACGCACACUAUGUUUGUAACAGAUGGAUAUUUAUAAUCAUAUUA
rnacentral:misc_RNA from 1 species